GCUAUUGGGACCAAGGAGGCAGGCUGAGGGGGAGGUACGAAAAGUUUCCCUGCUGGAGACUCCGGAGGAGAUCCCAUCCUGAUCCAUAAUGAAGAGCAGGCUCUGCGGGCAUGGUCUCACAUUGACAGGUAAACAGUCAACAUAAAGCGCAAAAACAGUUGACUGCAUUGGCAUAAAUACAACCUGGAAGCCAUCAGCCUUAGGAGAAUGAAACACAGGAAAUGGUCCAGAGAUGAAUCAACCCCAGGCCCCUGCAGCAUUUCAUCAGCAUGUCUUUAUCCUGUUUUCCUUCUCUCACCCC